GUAGAGCGGCGCACGGGUGAGUAACGCGUGGGUAAUCUCCCUUGGUGAUCGGGAUAACAGCGGGAAACUGCUGCUAAUACCGGAUAAUCUUCAUGUUUAACUUCAUGGGGUAAAGGUGGCCUCUGCUUGCAAGCUACCACGCCGAGAUGAGCCCGCGUCUCAUUAGCUAGUUGGUAGGGUAAUGGCCUACCAAGGCUACGAUGAGUAGCUGGUCUGAGAGGAUGACCAGUCACACUGGGACUGGAACACGGCCCAGACUCCUACGGGAGGCAGCAGUGGGGAAUAUUGCGGGGUGGGCGAAAGCCUGACGCAGCGACGCCUCGUGAGGGAUGAAGGUCUUCGGAUCGUAAACCUCUGUCAAGAGGGAAGAAACCCUUGGAUUCGAACAGGGUCCUUGGCUGACGGUACCUCAAAAGGAAGCACCGGCUAACUCCGUGCCAGCAGCCGCGGUAAUACGGAGGGUGCAAGCGUUAAUCGGAAU
rnacentral:rRNA from 1 species